ensembl:lncRNA
ACAGCUGCAGGAACAACAGCAGAUGAGAAAGAUGGGAGAACAGGUGGGCACCGACUGUGCUGGGAAUGGCUCCUUCUAGUGGUCCUGUGGUUUUGUGCCCGGUGAUGUUAUGACCUCUGCCCUUGACCUUUAAGAGGAAAGCCCCUUUCCGAGAUGAAGACACUGAGGCUUGGAAAGAGUCCAGCCUGGAACUGGGCCACACCUGCGGCAUAUGGAAAUUGCCAGAUUAGGGGUUGAAUUGGAGCAGCUGAUGGCCUAUAUCGCAGCCACAGCAAUACAGGAUUUGAACUGCAUCUGCAACCUACACUACAGCUUGUGGCAACGCUGGAUCCUUAACCCACGGAGCAAGGCCAGGGAUUGAACCUGCACCCUCACGGAUACUAGUCGGGUUCUUAACACACUGAACCUCAACAGGAAUGCCAGUAUUUCAACUUUGAAGGUAGGUAUCCUUUUUUUUUUUUUGGCUGUGCCCAUGGCAUGUGGAAAUUCCCCGGCCAGGGAUCAAACCUGAGCCACAUCAGGGACGAUGCUGGAUCCUUAACCACUAGGCCACCAGGGAACUUGGAAUGUAGGCAUCCUUGUUCCCAUGUUGGAGGCGAGGAGACUGAGGCCCACAGAUGCUAAGUUAAUUGACGAGGGCUGUGAUUUAGUAGUACAUGGCAGAGUCCUUGUCUUCUGACUGUACCCUUACUUCUCCUGAGGGCCGUGAAACUACGUGGUAAACCGUGUAGCGUUGAACAACUCUAAGGGACUGUUCUUACAUUAUCCCGCCAUCGAUUUUUAGUGCUCAGAGUAAUUUUCUUGAGCUUUUUAUUUUCCUAGUUGAACAAAUAUCCAGCCACUUGUGCAUAUCGACAGCACCAGCAGCACUGCCUCUGUGGCCCCUGCCGCAUCCUGCAGGGCCCAUAACAGAUCCUCUGUCCCCAGGGACCAGAGAAAAGUCGGGGAGAAAGAAAAGGAGCUUUUGUGAGCCUUUUCCUUUCUUUGUCCCUUAGCCUAUUGCCUGGGAAAAUUCUCCCCCCCUCCGCCCCCACCCACCUGAAAGCCACUUUGUUGCACGGGCAUAAUUUCUUACAAUAACAUUAACAUAUCAUUGGAGCUCAUUACCUUUGGUGUAAUAGUUCCCUAUUGAACUGUGUCAGACUAAUUAUGUCAGUUCCUUUUCAUUCUAGUUUAGUGCUUCUCCUGAGAGUCGCAGUGCAGCACCGGUAAUAAUGAUUAAACUGCUGUCUAAUGCUCCACUGGACAUCCAAACCAAACAGGGGAAAAUUCCUUGCUGAAGAUGGGACUCGCAGCAGCAGCCCUUGUACUUGAUGCAGUUUGGUGUUUUAAAAGCCAUUACCCGUCGGUCCUUGCCACAGGACAGUGAAGGGCUGGAGGGCUGGGAGGAAAGAGGGAAUCAGGGGAGGAAACAGCUCGGCAAGGCGAGGCACGCAGCGGCAGAGCGGCAACCCAGGUGCUUUCCAGGCGGCGCUGAGCCCUUAAGUUCUGAUCAGGUCCAUCUGGAGCCAAGCGUUGCCAGUCAGCCAGCAGAGGUGGGUGUAUGGGGAGAGGCUGGGUAAUGAAUCAGGACAAGCCAAUAUCAAAUGCUUAAAGCUCUGUUGCCAGUGUCAGAUGAAAGAGCCCAAGGAAGAUGAAUGAAAAUGAAGUCGAUUUCACCUUCCCUGUCUCCUACAGAGCUCUUUGCUCCAGCCUGCCUCAUACAUGCCUUUGUCUUUUUGCAUAAAGGGCAGGAAGGCAGUCUUGUGCUCCCAUGGGAAUGGAGACAAGAGGCCAAUGCUCCUCAUGGCUUAAUGGGAUGCAAACCCGUCCUGAGCACCCAUUUUUGGUGAUUCUUCUUUUUCUUUCUUUUUUUGGCCGCACCUGUGGCAUGUGAAAGUUGUGGGCCAGGGAUAGAACCUGCGCCACUGCAGCAACCUAAGCUUUGCAGUGACGAUGCCAGAUCCUUAACCCACUGCGCCACAGGAGAACUCUCUUGAUGAUUCUUAAUGAUCCUAAUAAUAAGAACUAGCUAUCUGCGGAGCAAUUACUUUGUGCCUGGCAUUGUGUUAAGGAUUUUACACCUGCAGUCUCAUUUAGUCCAUCACUCCCCAUGGCGUGAGAAACUGGGGCUCAGGGAGAAGAAAUAACUUGCCUAAGGUCCCCUACCAAAACCCCCAUAUCUGACCCCAAGCCUGUUCAUUCAGCCAACCCCUGAAUGAUUAGUGUUGGGUCUAGUCUUGAACUGUAGCCCUCAGAUAUGCUUUGAGCAUCACAGCUGGUCUUGGCUUUCUUGGGGCUGAGAUCUCAAUGUUCAGUUUUAGCCCAAGGUGAUUUGUUCUCUGAGCAGGGGCAGAGGGCUCUGGGAUCACCUUCAUUCACUCGCUCGCAUUUAUUUGAGUGCCUAUAUGUGCCGGGCUUUGCCGGGUACUAGGAUGCCAGGGUCAGCAAAGCUGCUACAGACGCUGCUUUCAUGGAGGCUGCAGUCCAAAAGGGGACAAUGGAAUCUUUAGGUGGCAUUUACUCGGCUCCUCCUCUGGACCAAGCUCUGUGCUGCAUGCUUUUAAAUAAGUCCAUUUGUUUAAUCAUAGUGAUAGGGAAGGAGUAGGAACCUUACACAGGUAGUUGUAGGAGUCCCAGUAGGGGACCACAGCUAGAGAAGGAAACCUAGGGAACUUUGGGAGACCACUGUAAGUUGUUAAUUGCUCAAGAAAAGCCAUCAGAACAUCCAUGGAAUGAAGCAGGCUUGCUUACCUGUAAAACCAUAAAUAAAAGCACAAGAUAUGCCUCAGGUCAUUAAGUGAAAGAUGAAAUGAAGCCUGCAUUCAAGUUCAGCAAGAUAAUGAUCCUUGGGACCAAGGACAGGCAUUUAAGGGACAGAUGACCUUCCAAAGGCGGAGACCCUCAUGAUAGGGAAAGCUGAGAUGAUCCAACAUAUUUUAGCAUAGGUUACCACCCCUUUGCUGAUUUGAAUAACAACCAUGAAGGUCUUAGUUUGACCUCAGAGAGUCAAAUACUCUCUUAUUGGACUUGAAGGAGGAGCUAAUGCUGUAAGCCUGACGUCUACUAGACGAAAGAGGAGGAAGGCGGUAUAUUCCCCUUCCACUUUCCUUGGAUUAUAAAAAUGUAGCCCACCUAAUGUUCGAGGCUGAGCAUCUUUGCCUGCUCACUUGUAUCUCUCACAAGUAUCCUAUCUUAAUAAAUCCUUCUUGCCUAUCACUUUGUCUCUUGCUGAAUUCCUUCUGCUCUGAGACACAAAGACCCUGAACCUCAAUGAGUCCAGACACCAGGUGAAUGAUUCUAAUUAAAAAAAAAAAAAAGAAAAAAAAA